rnacentral:rRNA from 1 species
CCUACGGGUGGCAGCAGUGAGGAAUAUUGGUCAAUGGGCGAGAGCCUGAACCAGCCAAGCCGCGUGAAGGAUGAAGGAUCUAUGGUUUGUAAACUUCUUUUAUAUGGGAAUAAAGUGAGGAACGUGUUCCAUUUUGUAUGUACCAUAUGAAUAAGCAUCGGCUAACUCAGUGACAGCAGCCGCGGUAAUACGGAGGAUGCGAGCGUUAUCCGGAUUUAUUGGGUUUAAAGGGUGCGUAGGUGGUUAAUUAAGUCAGCGGUGAAAAUUUGUGGCCCAACCAUAAAAUUGCCGUUGAAACUGGUUGACUUGAGUUUACUUGAGGUAGGCUGAAUGCGUGGUGUAGCGGUGAAAUGCAUAGAUAUCACGCAGAACUCCGAUUGCGAAGGCAGCUUACUAAACUAUAACUGACGCUGAAGCACGAAAGCGUGGGGAUCAAACAGGAUUAGAUACCCGUGUAGUC